GCGCAGCAGUCGCGAAAACUUCGCAAUACGCGCAAGCGUGACGAGGGAACCCCCAGUCCUCUUGCUUUUUGCCGGCGUUUUUGCCAUGUGUAAACAGCUUGGAGAAUAAGGGCGGGGUAAGGCCUGUGCCAGCCGCCGCGGUAAUACCAGCCGCCCGAGUCGUGGCCACUAUUAUUGGGCCUAAAGCGUCCGUAGCCGGUUUUGUAAGUUUCUGGGUAAAUCCCACAGCUUAACUGCGGGAAUUCCAGAAAUACUGCAGAGCUAGGAGCCGGGAGACGCAGAAGGUACUCCUGGGGUAGGGGUGAAAUCCUAUAAUCCUAGGGGGACCACCAGUGGCGAAGGCGUUCUGCGAGAACGGGCUCGACGGUGAGGGACGAAAGCCAGGGGCGCAAACGGGAUUAGAUACCCCCGUAGUCC
rnacentral:rRNA from 1 species